AACGAACGCUGGCGGCGCGCCUAAUACAUGCAAGUCGAACGAGAAUGUGUAGCAAUACACAUGUACAGUGGCGAACGGGUGAGGAAUACAUGGGUAACCUACCCUCGAGUGGGGAAUAACUAGCCGAAAGGUUAGCUAAUACCGCGUACGCUUCCCGGACUGCGGUUCGGGAAGGAAAGCGAUACCGUGGGUAUCGCGCUCUUGGAUGGGCUCAUGCCCUAUCAGCUUGUUGGUGAGGUAACUGCUCACCAAGGCUUCGACGGGUAGCUGAUCCGAGAGGAUGAUCAGCCACACUGGCACUGCGACACGGGCCAGACUCCUACGGGAGGCAGCAGUAAGGAAUAUUGCGCAAUGGGCGAAAGCCUGACGCAGCGACGCCGCGUGGGGGAUGAAGGUCUUCGGAUUGUAAACCCCUUUCGGGAGGGAAGAUGGGAUGGGGUAACCCAUUCGGACGGUACCUCCAGAAGCAGCCACGGCUAACUUCGUGC
rnacentral:rRNA from 1 species